AUUGAACGCUGGCGGCAGGCCUAACACAUGCAAGUCGAGCGGCAGCGGGAAAGUAGCUUGCUACUUUUGCCGGCGAGCGGCGGACGGGUGAGUAAUGCCUGGGAAAUUGCCCAGUCGAGGGGGAUAACAGUUGGAAACGACUGCUAAUACCGCAUACGCCCUACGGGGGAAAGCAGGGGACCUUCGGGCCUUGCGCGAUUGGAUAUGCCCAGGUGGGAUUAGCUAGUUGGUGAGGUAAUGGCUCACCAAGGCGACGAUCCCUAGCUGGUCUGAGAGGAUGAUCAGCCACACUGGAACUGAGACACGGUCCAGACUCCUACGGGAGGCAGCAGUGGGGAAUAUUGCACAAUGGGGGAAACCCUGAUGCAGCCAUGCCGCGUGUGUGAAGAAGGCCUUCGGGUUGUAAAGCACUUUCAGCGAGGAGGAAAGGUCAGUAGCUAAUAUCUGCUGGCUGUGACGUUACUCGCAGAAGAAGCACCGGCUAACUCCGUGCCAGCGGCCGCGGUAAUACGGAGGGUGCAAGCGUUAAUCGGAAUUACUGGGCGUAAAGCGCACGCAGGCGGUUGGAUAAGUUAGAUGUGAAAGCCCCGGGCUCAACCUGGGAAUUGCAUUUAAAACUGUCCGGCUAGAGUCUUGUAGAGGGGGGUAGAAUUCCAGGUGUAGCGGUGAAAUGCGUAGAGAUCUGGAGGAAUACCGGUGGCGAAGGCGGCCCCUGGACAAAGACUGACGCUCAGUGCGAAAGCGUGGGAGCAAACAGGAUUAGAUACCCUGGUAGUCCACGCCCGUAAACGAUGUCGAUUUUGGAGGCUGUGUCCUUGAA
rnacentral:rRNA from 1 species